rfam:Oryza glaberrima chromosome 9 Oglab09_0011_25, whole genome shotgun sequence.
GUUAAGUGUAUCCAUGAGUUUUCGUGUCCAACUUUAAUUGUUUGUUUUAUUUAAAAUUUUUUAUAAUUAGUAUUUGUAUUGUUAUGAGAUGAUAAAAUAUAAAUAGUACUUUAUGCAUGACUACUUAUAUUUUUAUUUUUUUAAUUUUUUUUAAAUAAAACAGACGAUUAAAAUUGGGCACGAAAAAUCAUUGCUGCACUUUAA